rfam:Stegodyphus mimosarum contig23181, whole genome shotgun sequence.
GCCUUUGUGGUGUAAUGGUAGCACACUUGGCACAUAUUCAAGAGGUCCAGGUUCGAGUCCCAGCAAGGGCA